UAUUAAGGAACGCCGACUAAGUUCGCCUCGUCCUGAGGCAACGUCGGCAUGGCCCGGAUCCUCUGGG
rfam:Oceanobacillus picturae, S1, WGS project CCAX01000000 data, contig: 000001